rnacentral:rRNA from 1 species
AUUGAACGCUGGCGGCAGGCCUAACACAUGCAAGUCGAACGAGUGGCGGACGGGUGAGUAAUGUCUGGGAAACUGCCUGAUGGAGGGGGAUAACUACUGGAAACGGUAGCUAAUACCGCAUACCAUCGGAUGUGCCCAGCUGGGAUUAGCUAGUAGGUGGGGUAAGGGCUCACCUAGGCGACGAUCCCUAGCUGGUCUGAGAGGAUGACCAGCCACACUGGAGCUGGGAAACGGUCCAGCCUCCUAGGGGAGGAGGCAGUGGGGAAUAUUGAACAAUGGGCGAAAGCCUGAUGCACCCAGGCGGGGUGUAUGAAGAAGGCCUUCGGGUUGUAAAGUACUUACGGCGGGGAGGCGUAACCCGCAGAAGAAGCACCGGCUAACUCCGUGCCAGCAGCCGCGGUAAUA